GAACCUACCUAUCGUUGCUUCGGCGGACUCGCCCCAGCCCGGACGCGGACUGGACCAGCGGCCCGCCGGGGACCUCAAACUCUUGUAUUCCAGCAUCUUCUGAAUACGCCGCAAGGCAAAACAAAUGAAUCAAAACUUUCAACAACGGAUCUCUUGGCUCUGGCAUCGAUGAAGAACGCAGCGAAAUGCGAUAAGUAAUGUGAAUUGCAGAAUCCAGUGAAUCAUCGAAUCUUUGAACGCACAUUGCGCCCGCCAGCAUUCUGGCGGGCAUGCCUGUUCGAGCGUCAUUUCAACCCUCGACCUCCCCUUGGGGAGGUCGGCGUUGGGGACCGGCAGCACACCGCCGGCCCUGAAAUGGAGUGGCGGCCCGUCCGCGGCGACCUCUGCGUAGUAAUACAGCUCGCACCGGAACCCCGACGCGGCCACGCCGUAAAACACCCAACUUCUGAACGUUGACCUCGAAUCAGGUAGGACUACCCGCUGAACUUAAGCAUAUCAUUGUAGGGAAGAAAAUCACUCCCUAACCCUUUCUGUGAACCUACCUAUCGUUGCUUCGGCGGACUCGCCCCAGCCCGGACGCGGACUGGACCAGCGGCCCGCCGGGGACCUCAAACUCUUGUAUUCCAGCAUCUUCUGAAUA
rnacentral:rRNA from 1 species